rnacentral:rRNA from 1 species
UGGGGAAUAUUGCACAAUGGGCGCAAGCCUGAUGCAGCCAUGCCGCGUGUGUGAAGAAGGCCUUCGGGUUGUAAAGCACUUUCAGCGAGGAGGAAGGCGUUAAGGUUAAUAACCUUAGCGAUUGACGUUACUCGCAGAAGAAGCACCGGCUAACUCCGUGCCAGCAGCCGCGGUAAUACGGAGGGUGCAAGCGUUAAUCGGAAUUACUGGGCGUAAAGCGCACGCAGGCGGUUUGUUAAGUCAGAUGUGAAAUCCCCGAGCUUAACUUGGGAACUGCAUUUGAAACUGGCAAGCUAGAGUCUUGUAGAGGGGGGUAGAAUUCCAGGUGUAGCGGUGGAAAUGCGUAGAGAU